rnacentral:rRNA from 1 species
UACGUAGGGUGCAAGCGUUAAUCGGAAUUACUGGGCGUAAAGCGUGCGCAGGCGGCUUUGCAAGACAGAUGUGAAAUCCCCGGGCUUAACCUGGGAACUGCAUUUGUGACUGCAUGGCUCGAGUACGGUAGAGGGGGAUGGAAUUCCGCGUGUAGCAGUGAAAUGCGUAGAUAUGCGGAGGAACACCGAUGGCGAAGGCAGUCCCCUGGACCUGUACUGACGCUCAUGCACGAAAAGCGUGGGGGAGCAAACAGG